rnacentral:lncRNA from 1 species
CCACGAGGUUGGCGCUUAAACAAAUAUUCUAAAAUUUUAUAAACAAAAUCGACAUCUUAAGAUUGAUUUUUAUAGCAUCAAAAAAAAAAGUAAAAAAAUUAAAUUAACCUCCUAUGACUAAAUUCAUUUAAAAAAAAAAUAUUGCAAUAGUCAACCUCUAGAGAUUGAUUUUUAAUGCUCUAUUACCACAUUGAACUAUACGCGAAA